AAGGGUUGGGUAUUAAAAAGAACUUGACAACUAAAUGGCUUUAAAUUUUUUUUGACAACCAAAUGGCUCAUAUUCGGGCCUUGUUUAGUUCACCCUAAAAACAAAAACUUUUCAAGAUUUUUUGUCACAUCAAAUCUUGCGGCACAUGUAUGAGUAUUAAAUAUAGAUGAAAAACAAAAACUAAUUAUACAGUUUGCCUGUAAAUCAUGAGACGAAUCUUUUAAAUCUAGUUACACCAUGAUUGGACAAUAUUUGUCAAAAUGAAAAUGCUACAGUGUCAAAAUCCAAAAAAAAAAUUGGAUCUAAACAAGGCCUCGACAUGUAUAGUGUCAUAUAUGAUAUAUAUUGUAUAUAGUUCAUGCUACCGAUGGAGUUUGAGAAUAUUUUUACGUAAUUCACCUUUGCACGAGUG
rnacentral:lncRNA from 1 species